GGCUCUGUGGCGCAAUGGAUAGCGCAUUGGACUUCUAGCGCGGCGGUGACGGGAGUCAUUCAAAGGUUGUGGGUUCGAGUCCCACCAGAGUCG
rfam:Colinus virginianus strain Texas jcf7180006226949, whole genome shotgun sequence.